CUGACGGCUGCCUCACUCUGGCUAGGCUUGGGCUUCUGGUAAGUGAGUGAAGGCUGCACUCUGCUGUGUUGAGCUCCCUUCUCCAUGCUCAAUUCUUGAGUACCCUCAGAAUCAGAGAGCUGGGGUGUGUCCAGGAGUAAGAAAAAGCUAACAUGCUUCUGCUCAGGAACUGUAACUUCUACCUUUCUCCUCAAGGCUGAGGUUUUUAAACUGGCCUUCAGGGGAGCCACAAACCCGCUGAGAACCCGUACCAGUUUCUGCUUGUAUGUGCACUUUUCUGGGUGGGCCCAUGGCUUCCAUUGAUUCUACCUUAGUGCAGGCUUCCAGAAAGCAAAGUAAGAGAUGGAGGACACAGGUGCUAUUACUUUAUUAUGGAGUUCAAUCUCAGCAGGAGCGAGGGACGUGGGGCACCAAGCAUAGAAAGAGCUAAUAGGAGGGCAUGUUCUACCCCUGCCCUGUGAGCUGCACCUGCAUUGUCUGGGCAUCUGGUGGGGGAGUGGGGAGGAGGCCUCUGUCAAUAGAAGAACUGGGGCCGGAGGUUUGGUGCAGUCAGGUUGUGUCUGUAGGAGGUCAAAAUCCACACAGCUGGAAUGAGAGACAGGUGAGGUCCAGAGGCUCUGCAGUGGGGCAAAGAGGUAUCUGAUGCAGAUUCUCCAACUACCUGCUUAACUUCAAGUCUGCUUCAUACAGUUGUAUGGUUUGUGCACUGCCCAAAGAUUCCUGGCUGAGGGAACAAGUUGGGACCAGAAUCUGACCUGAGCUCUCUUUACAGAGUCUUGUACCUUUGUCCACCCAGAGCAGGUGCCUUUUCCAAAUUAGCUCAGGGGGAGCUCUCUUCACCUGGUUUUCCAAAGUGACCAGUCAGGGGUAGGUUGCCCCGUGUAUUAGUCCAUUUUCAUGCUGCUGAUAAAGAUGUACCUGAGACUGGGUAAUUUAUAAAGAAAAAGAGGUUUAAUGGACUCACAGAUCCAUGUGGCUGGGGAGGCCUCACAAUCAUGGCAGAAGGCAAAAGUCACAUCUUACAUGGUGGCAGACGAGAGAAAAUGAACACCAAGCAAAAGUAUGUUCCCUUUAUAAAAUCAUCAGAUCUCGUGAGACUUAUUCACUACCACAAGAACAGUAUGGGGAAAACCACCUCCAUGAUUCAGUUGUCUCCCACUGGGUCCCACCCACAACACGUGGAAAUUAUGGGAACUACAAUUCAAGAUGAGAUUUGAGUGGGGACACAGCCAAACUAUAUCACCCCGUCCAGCCUCCUUUUCCUUAGCUCCCUUCACAUUCUAGUUUCUGCCUGAGCCAUCAGGCCCUGUGGCCCAGACCAGGCAUCUUGAACUAUAUCCCAGACCCUCCUCAUGAACAGAAUCACUGCUCAAAAGUCCUCCUUUUUUCACCUGCCCUGUGCUCUAGUCUAGAUUCUGAUUUCUUGUGGUGAGUUGGUGUUGCCUUGGAUUUCUUGUGCCUGCUCAGAUCUGUGGAUUUGGCCCUAGGUCCUUUUUCUUUCUUCCUGUUGGCCUCCUCAGCUCCCUCCCUCCUUUCUGCCAGGUAUUCCCUGCAGGCCUCAGCGUCAGGGCUACCUCUAUUGACAGGGGAUCCUUGGGCGUUCGGGCCAUAGUUUUUCUUUGGUGAAUAAAUAUGUAUGGCUUACAAAACAUGUGUUUCUAAAUUUAUGAAAUUAUAUGUAUGUUUAUACAUUCAUUCGUGCUUUCAUUUAGCCAACAUUUAUUAAGUUUUUUACAUAGCAGAAACCACUUCAUAACUGUGAGACUCUGGAUAAAUCACUUAAGUUUCCUGAGUGUCAUUUUCUUCUCUGUGAAAUGGAGGUAAUAAUGAUUGGCUCCGGUGUGGUCCUGCACCUUGAACAAGAUAGUGGACUUUAAAGGGCUUCAUCAGAUGCCAGCCCAGAAGGUGUCCAGUGGGUAAGAAUGUCCCCCCUGAUGCCAUCCCUUCAUCUGGUUCCCAGUGGGGAAUAUGAUGAAGUGGCUGCUACCCAGGAGCUCAUGGCCAUUCUGCUUAGUUCCAGUAUACACGAGCUCUCUGGGGAUGGCACCUCUCACUCUGCCAUGCAGUGGUGAGAAGUAACUAUUCUGGAAUUGUCUUAUCUCAGCCCUACAUACUAUUUUCAGUGUCUGUGUUUCAUUUUUCUUCUAGAACAUGCCUCCCAGAGUUGUUGAAAUAAUUAAGCUAGGUGCUAUAUGAAGAGAACUUAGUGUGUGGCACAUAAACAAUAAGGGUUCAAUAAAUAGUGGCUGUCAUCAUCCUCGUCAUUCUAUAGCCAAUGAGAGAAGUGAGUUGAAAUAAAACCUGGCUUAAGAGCCAGUUAUAUUUGAAAUUAUUAGUGUUGGCUCGUUGCCUGUGGGUGUCUGGAGAAAACCAUUGGUUCCAGUUCCUGGAAACAGACCAAGCCAGUGCAAAGGUUUCUUGAUGUAAGAACACAGUGAAUCUGGUCCUGCAAGUAGGCAGAUGCCCUGGACUACCAUUAUGGUAUGUGGCCUUGUCAUCUGGGGUCUUGAAUUAGGGUUUUCAUCUCUCUGGGUUCACCUCGCACGCUGCUUGGUCUUUAGAAUAAAGAUUGAGGUUAUCAAGACCUAGAAAAAUGACUUUUCUGAACUUGAAAUAUUUCCUUUGAAUGCUCAGGAGUCAAUAUACUUUUGUUAUUCAGAACACGGAUUCCAAGUUAGAUAUACUCAAUUUGAAUCUCACCUGUCAUUGAUAGAAUUAUCCGUGUAACUUUGUGAAAACCACCUAACUUCCCUGUACCUUAGUUUCAUUGUCAGGAAAAACUAUGGUAAUAAUUAUAACUACCUUGUAUUGUUGUUUCAAGGAUUAAAUUUGAAAUGCACAAAAAUCCUUUAGUACAGUCCCAGGUAGAGAAUAAGUGCUGUUAUUAUUAUUUUAAAAAUUUUGUCCCCAACUUUUUAUUGUGAAAAUUUCAAAAUUAUAGAGGUUGAAAAAAUAGUGCAAUAAACAUCCAUAUACUC
rnacentral:lncRNA from 1 species